GACAAACGCUGGCGGCGUACCUAAGACAUGCAAGUCGAACGGGACUGACCGCUUUCGAGUGGUGAGUCGAGUGGCGGACGGGUGAGUAACGCGUGGGAACCUGUCGCGCGGUGGGGUAUACCGCCGGGAAACCGGCGCUAAUACCGCAUGCGCUCUCAUGGAAAUGAGAGCAAAGCAGCAAUGCGCCGUGUGAGGGGCCCGCGUCCGAUUAGCUGGUUGGUGGGGUAAUGGCCUACCAAGGCUGCGAUCGGUAGCUGGUCUGAGAGGAUGGUCAGCCACAC
rnacentral:rRNA from 1 species